CAGCAGCCGCGGGAAUACGUAGGGUGCGAGCGUUAAUCGGAAUUACUGGGCGUAAAGCGUGCGCAGGCGGUUAUAUAAGACAGAUGUGAAAUCCCCGGGCCCAACCUGGGACCUGCAUUUGUGACUGUAUAGCUAGAGUACGGUAGAGGGGGAUGGAAUUCCGCGUGUAGCAGUGAAAUGCGUAGAUAUGCGGAGGAACACCGAUGGCGAAGGCAAUCCCCUGGACCUGUACUGACGCUCAUGCACGAAAGCGUGGGGAGCAAACAGGAUUAGAUACCCGGGUAGUCCCUGUCUCUUAUAC
rnacentral:rRNA from 1 species